rfam:Carnobacterium maltaromaticum LMA28 complete genome
UGCAACAUGCUAUAAUUAUCUUGUAGAAAGUUAAAUGGAUGGUGGCUAGCUCGUUGUAAAAAGGGGGCGAUGCCUAUGUUUUUAGUGUUUGCUCCUAGAAAGGAUUAAACGUGUCAGUUUUUGAAGCGUUGAUGUUCGCACUUACGUUCACAACUCUGGCUUUAAAAAUUUAUGAUCAUAA